UUCUGUUGUAUUAUCUUUUAUUCUGUUGUAUUCUGUUGUAUUAUCUUUUAUUCUGUUGUAUUCUCUUAUAUUCUGUUGUAUUCUCUUUUAUUCUGUUGUAUUCUGUUGUAUUCUCUUUUAUUCUGUUGUAUUCUGUUGUAUUAUCUUUUAUUCUGUUGUAUUCUGUUGUAUUCUCUUUUAUUCUGUUGUAUUCUGUUGUAUUAUCUUUUAUUCUGUUGUAUUCUGUUGUAUUCUCUUUUAUUCUGUUGUAUUCUGUUGUAUUCUCUUUUAUUCUGUUGUAUUCUGUUGUAUUAUCUUUUAUUCUGUUGUAUUCUCUUUUAUUCUGUUGUAUUCUGUUGUAUUCUCUUUUAUUCUGUUGUAUUCUGUUGUAUUCUCUUUUAUUCUGUUGUAUUCUGUUGUAUUAUCUUUUAUUCUGUUGUAUUCUCUUUUAUUCUGUUGUAUUCUGUUGUAUUAUCUUUUAUUCUGUUGUAUUCUGUUGUAUUCUCUUUUAUUCUGUUGUAUUCUGUUGUAUUAUCUUUUAUUCUGUUGUAUUCUCUUUUAUUCUGUUGUAUUCUGUUGUAUUCUCUUUUAUUCUGUUGUAUUCUGUUGUAUUCUCUUUUAUUCUGUUGUAUUCUGUUGUAUUCUCUUUUAUUCUUUUGUAUUCUCUUUUAUUCUGUUGUAUUCUGUUGUAUUCUCUUUUAUUCUGUUGUAUUCUGUUGUAUUCUCUUUUAUUCUGUUGUAUUCUGUUGUAUUCUCUUUUAUUCUGUUGUAUUCUGUUGUAUUAUCUUUUAUUCUGUUGUAUUCUGUUGUAAUCUGUUGUAUUCUCUUUUAUUCUGUUGUAUUCUGUUGUAUUAUCUUUUAUUCUGUUGUAUUCUCUUUUAUUCUGUUGUAUUCUGUUGUAUUCUCUUUUAUUCUGUUGUAUUCUGUUGUAUUCUCUUUUAUUCUGUUGUAUUCUCUUUUAUUCUGUUGUAUUCUGUUGUAUUCUGUUGUAUUCUCUUUUAUUCUGUUGUAUUCUGUUGUAUUCUCUUUUAUAUAUGUUGUAUUCUGUUGUAUUCUCUUUUAUUCUGUUGUAUUCUAUUGUAUUAUCUUUUAUUCUGUUGUAUUCUGUUGUAUUCUCUUUUAUUCUGUUGUAUUCUGUUGUUUUCUCUUUUAUUCUGUUGUAUUCUGUUGUAUUCUCUUUUAUUCUGUUGUAUUCUGAUGUAUUCUGUUGUAUUAUCUUUUAUUCUGUUGUAUUCUGUUGUAUUCUCUUUUAUUCUGUUGUGUUCUGUUGUAUUAUCUUUUAUUCUUUUGUAUUCUCUUUUAUUCUGUUGUAUUCUGUUGUAUUAUCUUUUAUUCUGUUGUAUUCUCUUUUAUUCUGUUGUAUUCUGUUGUAUUCCCUUUAUUCUGUUGUAUUCUGUUGUAUUCUCUUUUAUUCUGUUGUAUUCUCUUUUAUUUUGUUGUAUUCUGUUGUAUUCUGUUGUAUUCUCUUUUAUUCUGUUGUAUUCUCUUUUAUUCUGUUGUAUUCUGUUGUAUUCUCUUUUAUUCUGUUGUAUUCUGUUGUAUUAUCUUUUAUUCUGUUGUAUUCUGUUGUAUUCUCUUUUAUUCUGUUGUAUUCUGUUGUAUUCUCUUUUAUUCUGUUGUAUUCUGUUGUAUUAUCUUUUAUUCUGUUGUAUUCUCUUUUAUUCUGUUGUAUUCUGUUGUAUUCUCUUUUAUUCUGUUGUAUUCUCUUUUAUUCUGUUGUAUUCUGUUGUAUUCUCUUUUAUUCUGUUGUAUUCUGUUGUAUUCUCUUUUAUUCUGUUGUAUUCUGUUGUAUUAACUGUUGUAUUCUCUUUUAUUCUGUUGUAUUCUGUUGUAUUCUCUUUUAUUCUGUUGUAUUCUGUUGUAUUCUCUUUUAUUCUGUUGUAUUCUGUUGUAUUCUCUUUUAUUCUGUUGUAUUCUGUUGUAUUAUCUUUUAUUCUGUUGUAUUCUCUUUUAUUCUGUUGUAUUCUGUUGUAUUCUCUUUUAUUCUGUUGUAUUCUGUUGUAUUAUCUUUUAUUCUGUUGUAUUCUCUUUUAUUCUGUUGUAUUCUCUUUUAUUCUGUUGUAUUCUGUUGUAUUCUCUUUUAUUCUGUUGUAUUCUGUUGUAUUCUCUUUUAUUCUGUUGUAUUCUCUUUUAUUCUGUUGUAUUCUCUUUUAUUCUCUUGUAUUCUGUUGUAUUCUCUUUUAUUCUGUUGUAUUCUGUUGUAUUCUCUUUUAUUCUGUUGUAUUCUGUUGUAUUCUCUUUUAUUCUGUUGUAUUCUGUUGUAUUCUCUUUUAUUCUGUUGUAUUCUGUUGUAUUCUCUUUUAUUCUGUUGUAUUCUGUUGUAUUCUCUUUUAUUCUGUUGUAUUCUGUUGUAUUCUCUUUUAUUCUGUUGUAUUCUGUUGUAUUAUCUUUUAUUCUGUUGUAUUCUCUUUUAUUCUGUUGUAUUCUGUUGUAUAACUGAUUUUUAUGUUUUGGGGGGAAUUUCACGCAAGUUUUCCAGGCCGAUAUUACCCUUAAUAUUGAGUGUAGCGUUAUGCAGAGGCCAGAAAUGAACUCCCCGUCUCGUUUUACCCAAGAAGAGUCACCGUUUUCAUGAAAAUAACCUCAAAUAACAUAAAUAUAGCUGAUUUUCAUGUUUUUGGAGGAAUUUCACGCGAGCUUUCCGGGCCAAUAUCUUCCUUAAUAUUGAGUGUAGCGUUAUGCCGAGGCCAGAAUUGGAUUCCUCAUCUCGUUUUACUAAAACAAAAGUCACCGUUUGCAUGAAAAUAACAUAAAUAUAGGUUAUUUUCAUGUUUUGGGGUGAAUUUCUCGCGAGCUUUCCGGGCCGAUAUCUCCCUUAAUAUUGAGUGUAGCGUUAUGACGAGGCCAGAAAUGGAUUCCUCGUCUUAUUUUACCCAAGAAGAGUCGCCGUUUGCAUGAAAAUAGCUUCAAAUAACAUAAAUAUAAUUGAUUUUCAUGUUUUUUUGAUAAUUUCACGCUAGUUUUCCGUGCCGAUAUCUCCCUUAAUAUUUAGUGUAUCGUUAUGCCGAGGCCAGAAAUGGAUUCCUCGUCUCGUUUCCUUCUCGUUUAGUCGCCUUUUGCAGGACAUGGCCGCUUUUUAUUUUAUUUUUUUUAUUUUUCUAGGGACCCAAAGUAUAACACUUUCACCUCAAGUACGAGAGUCCAGUGCGGGACACCUGCCGAUCUCUGAGCCCCACACUGCUUUUAUCACCCAAAUAACCGCCUUCACAUAUGAUUAUUGUUUAAAGGGUUAAUUAUUGGGGCUUCUUGGCAUCAGGUAUGGGUCAGAAGCCGGUAAAUGCGCGGCUUUGAGUACGAUAAUCUAGCAUCGGUGCGCGGUAAAAAAUCAUAACACAGCUGAUCGUCCACGCAGUUCCUCCUUCACGACGUGUUUUGAGAGGUGUUUGCAGUGUUUUUGGCGAAACCGUGCGCUGAAUGGAUGACUUUUUAAUGCUGGAGGUCCACUCCCUGACGCCCCGCCCUGCACGUCACGACCUGCCCCGGCAUCAGUUGAGUGUCCAGAGGAAGGAAAGAAGAGAGAAAGGAAGGAAAGCGGUGGCACUGCCCGGCACUUCCUCAAGAAGGCUCUCCUGCCCCUGACUGGCUGGUGUGACAGUCUGCUGCUUCUUGAAACCACUACAUGCGUGAGAUGACCCGACCCGCCCCGCCCCAACCAACCAUCAUGACCUGCCCGCCCCCUGGCAUACAUUGUUUCCAGAAACCCCUAAAUGACCGACUCUUCCAUGCCUGAGAUGACCCGCCCUGCCCUGCGUCAUGACCUCCCGGCAUACAUUGGUUUUGGGCGCCCAGCCGUACACGUGAACUAACAGUCUUGGCUUCAGGGCAGGUCGCUAAAAUGGUAUGUGUGUGUGUGUGUGUGCCGGCAGGUGUGUGAGGUGCCAGGUCAGGUGUGCCAGCGUUAGUUACCCCGUUAGGAGCGAUUCUAACACCCGCGUCAUCGGGGGCCGCCGGACCUGAGCCCAGCCCCGUACAGACAGUUUUUCUUACGUUGUGUCACUAAUUAUCGUUUGCAAGAGUCGCCACAACGCCCCACGCAUUCACUGUCGAUGGGGAAAGGCUUUCCUACACUGGCGUUAGCGUAGAUGAUGUAAUAUUGCAGAAAACAAGCUCAAAUGUUCUCGGCGGGCGGAGCGGGGCGGGGCGGGGCAGUUUGACAUUCACCUCGUAACAAAAUUUUCGUCUUCACGGCUAAAAUACAUCUUUCCUGCACUGGUCUCAUAUAUCCACGUGUGCACGGGCGUGGAAGGCUGACGUGGGUAAACCACUACAUGCCGGAGAUGACCCGACCUGCCCCCGCCCCACCUUCCUGGCCUGCCUGCCCCCUGGCAUAAAUUGUUUCCAGAAACCCCUAAAUGACCGACUCUUCCAUGCCUGAGAUGACCCGCCCUGCCCUGCGUCAUGACCUCCCGGCAUACAUUGAAACCGUGCGCUGAAUGGGUGACUUUUCAAUGCUGGAGGUCCACUCCCUGACCCCCCGCCCUGCCCCGCCUCGCAUGUCACGACCUGC